rnacentral:misc_RNA from 1 species
GAUGAAGAACGUAGCGAAACGCGAUACGUAAUGUGAAUUGCAGAAUUCAGUGAAUCAUCGAAUCUUUGAACGCACAUUGCGCCCCUUGGUAUUCCGAGGGGCAUGCCUGUUCGAGCGUCAUUAUAACCCCUCAAGCUCAGCUUGGUGUUGGGGCCUGCUGCACUGGCAGCCCUUAAAAUCAGUGGCGGCGCCAUCUGGCUCUAAGCGUAGUAAUUCUUCUCGCUAUGGAGUCCUGGUGGAUGCUUGCCAUCAACCCCCAAUUUUUCUAUGGUUGACCUCGGAUCAGGUAGGGAUACCCGCUGAACUUAAGCAUAUCAAUAAGCGGAGGA